GGAAGAGUGGCUGAGUGGUUGAAGGCACUGGUUUCGAAAACCAGCAUGGGGGCAACCUCAUCGAGAGUUCGAAUCUCUCCUCUUCCG
rnacentral:tRNA from 1 species